GGCAGAGGGAGGCCGGCUCCCGUGCCGCGAGGCAUGAGGAAAGUCCCCCCACCUGUCGGACAGGUGACCGGGCACAAGCCCGGGGCGGGAGACCGUCGGCGCUGGAACAGCAACGACACGUCACUGCGGGACCGAUGAGGUGCGCGACGCCCGAGCGAUGGCGGAUGCCAGAAGCGAGGGCAAGCUAACCCACCGAGGGCCAUCGGGGGCCGCCGGAUGGUGGCCCCCGCCCGCAGUGGACCGAUGGAACGGCGAAUCCUCACCGGUGCAAGGCCGCGUCGACAGGUAGUCCGACGCCGCGCGCGAGCGCUGGACGCGGCCGCUGAGCCGAAUGCCGGCCCGAACAGAAGGGGGCUUACUCCCCUCAGCC
rnacentral:RNase_P_RNA from 1 species